UAAUGUCUAUCUAAAAUUUAUCUUUGAAUUCAUGCAUCUACACAUGUCACCGCUGUAAAGCAAAAAGGAUCAUCUGAAGUUAAAGCUUCAAGCGGCCGAUGAUCAUAGGAAGGGUGGGCAAAGUUCAAUCACAAAACCACCAGUGAUUGCGAGCAUAGAAAUGCAGCUUGCAUUAUCAGCGUAUGAAAUUCUAUCUUUCUUUUCUAUCUUUGAUUCUUUUUAUUCUCUCUCUUGUCGCAUGGACGCUCAAUUUUAAUAAUAGAAUAAUGAGAAAAGCAGGCAGGUCGAUGAACAAAAAAAUAGUUGUGGUAACUGGGUUUCGGCAGAACUACACCCCCUUGUCGACGAUCUAGUGCCGGAAAUCUACAGCGUGCCAGCCGAUAUCCAGCUGCUACAUGACCAGACUAUACGUUACCCGUUAAACGGAUUAAAUAAGAGUCCUCUUUCGUGAUAUGGAAAAGUCAAAAGUUUUGUUUUCAAAAAUGCAAUUAAAGUAUUCUUUCAUUUAAUAGCAUAGCUCGCAAAUAACAAUUGAGUGUUUUGCGACGUCUUAAAAUAAGUCUGGGUAUAUGAAAAGAAUACUCGCGAGCAGAAUAUUGAUAAUCCCUUCGUUUAUCUCACACGCGCUCGGACAACAAUCAUUUUUUUUCGUUUUAUUUUCGUCUCACUUAGACCGCGAGUAUUUGCAUGAGUGAAAUGAAGCAAAACGUCUUUAAGCGAGUAAUGCCUAUAAAAUUGCGACGCAAUAACAUUUCUUUGCAUUCUACUGCCUAAUGUGUUGCAUAAAUUCUUUAAAUUUAAUCCGGAAGAAAAUAAAUCGAUAUGUAAUGUUUGUAGUUCGAAAUUGGCUGGAGUUAAUAUCACAAAUUUUAAACGACAUUUGACAAUGAAACAUGCGGAAAUAUGCAAUGAGCGGAACAAUGCAUAAUUCGUUCGAGUCGAUCAAAAACUAAAAUCGUUGUUAAAACUCUGGGGAUGAUUCAGCUAGCGGAUGCACAUACUGGAAUGUACAUGAAAUAAUAUUAUCUCAAAUCUUCUGCAUAACAUCUGAUAAUGCCAAAAAUAUGAUUAAAGCCGUUCAAGUUUUAAACGAAUACACGGAGGAGUCUCUUUUUGUCCGAUGACACGAAAGCUGAAAAUAUCAUGCAAAAAUUAGAUUGCAUUGAUUAAGAUAACAUUAACCUCCUUAGGUGAAGGCGAUUGGGGAUAAAAUUAGUUACUGUCGUACGUUGUGCAAAUCACUCCGCACGGAAAUAAAUAGGCACAUUCAACAGAAAAUGUUCCAGAAACUGUCACUCAUGAAUAGGAAGAUAUCUUUGACGCCUCAUUAUCUUCAAAUUCAUUAAAUUUAUCUUCAGCUGGAGAGAGUUCGCUGUUUUCGGCCUAUUUAGACGAAGUACAGACAGUGUCGGAAUUCAAAAACCCUGUAUCGGAAAAACUUACAAAGAUUUAUGGUGACGAUUUCUACAAUGAAGUGAAGCUCAAAUUGUAACAUUUAACUGCGCUCGCACAAGUAGUGCUGGCUACACCAGCAACGCAAUUGUCAGUAGAACGGGCAUUUUGAGCCCUGCAUUUCAUACUGAGUGAACGUCGGAGCGUAAUAGGAGCAGACAAUUUAAACUCUCUGUUAUUAAUUAAGCUAAACAUUUUGUCUAAGUGGCCCUUACAUAAAGGCAACUGAACAACAGGGAUCCGUGUUCGAAUCCCAGGCUAGUGCAUGGAUGUGGUUAUCGUAUAAGCCGAUGGUCGUAGUAUCAAGUGCUUGUAUAAAUUGUUGGUUGAUAGUUUACAACUACAUAUACAUGUAAAGACGAGAUGGGCACACUGAUCUGAGAUUGCCCCUAUUUUGAUGAGGCGUGUAGCAGCGGAGAGUGAGAGGCAUCUAAGAGAGGGAGUCGAAGGCCAGUCGUCGUCGAGAACGGGCAAGAUAUAAGCGGGUUACGAGAGCGUUCGGCAGUUAUGAAAUCAAUUAUUAUUCUCAAAGAAAUAUACAUAUGUACUACACCUCAAUUUAAACAUUUCAGUUAAUAUUAUAUACAAUAAACUAUUACAAAUAUAA